UUAAGUUAUUAAGGGCGCACGGUGGAUGCCUUGGCACUAGAAGCCGAUGAAGGACGUUACUAACGACGAUAUGCUUUGGGGAGCUGUAAGUAAGCUUUGAUCCAGAGAUUUCCGAAUGGGGAAACCCAGCAUGAGUUAUGUCAUGUUAUCGAUAUGUGAAUACAUAGCAUAUCAGAAGGCACACCCGGAGAACUGAAACAUCUUAGUACCCGGAGGAAGAGAAAGAAAAUUCGAUUCCCUUAGUAGCGGCGAGCGAAACGGGAAGAGCCCAAACCAACAAGCUUGCUUGUUGGGGUUGUAGGACACUCUGUACGGAGUUACAAAGGACGACAUUAGACGAAUCAUCUGGAAAGAUGAAUCAAAGAAGGUAAUAAUCCUGUAGUCGAAAAUGUUGUCUCUCUUGAGUGGAUCCUGAGUACGACGGAGCACGUGAAAUUCCGUCGGAAUCUGGGAGGACCAUCUCCUAAGGCUAAAUACUCUCUAGUGACCGAUAGUGAACCAGUACCGUGAGGGAAAGGUGAAAAGCACCCCGGAAGGGGAGUGAAAUAGAACCUGAAACCGUGUGCUUACAAGUAGUCAGAGCCCGUUAAUGGGUGAUGGCGUGCCUUUUGUAGAAUGAACCGGCGAGUUACGAUUUGAUGCAAGGUUAAGCAGUAAAUGUGGAGCCGUAGCGAAAGCGAGUCUGAAUAGGGCGUUUAGUAUUUGGUCGUAGACCCGAAACCAGGUGAUCUACCCUUGGUCAGGUUGAAGUUCAGGUAACACUGAAUGGAGGGCCGAACCGACUUACGUUGAAAAGUGAGCGGAUGAACUGAGGGUAGCGGAGAAAUUCCAAUCGAACCUGGAGAUAGCUGGUUCUCUCCGAAAUAGCUUUAGGGCUAGCCUCAAGUGAUGAUUAUUGGAGGUAGAGCACUGUUUGGACGAGGGGCCCCUCUCGGGUUACCGAAUUCAGACAAACUCCGAAUGCCAAUUAAUUUAACUUGGGAGUCAGAACAUGGGUGAUAAGGUCCGUGUUCGAAAGGGAAACAGCCCAGACCACCAGCUAAGGUCCCAAAAUAUAUGUUAAGUGGAAAAGGAUGUGGCGUUGCCCAGACAACUAGGAUGUUGGCUUAGAAGCAGCCAUCAUUUAAAGAGUGCGUAAUAGCUCACUAGUCGAGUGACACUGCGCCGAAAAUGUACCGGGGCUAAACAUAUUACCGAAGCUGUGGAUUGUCCUUUGGACAAUGGUAGGAGAGCGUUCUAAGGGCGUUGAAGCAUGAUCGUAAGGACAUGUGGAGCGCUUAGAAGUGAGAAUGCCGGUGUGAGUAGCGAAAGACGGGUGAGAAUCCCGUCCACCGAUUGACUAAGGUUUCCAGAGGAAGGCUCGUCCGCUCUGGGUUAGUCGGGUCCUAAGCUGAGGCCGACAGGCGUAGGCGAUGGAUAACAGGUUGAUAUUCCUGUACCACCUAUAAUCGUUUUAAUCGAUGGGGGGACGCAGUAGGAUAGGCGAAGCGUGCGAUUGGAUUGCACGUCUAAGCAGUAAGGCUGAGUAUUAGGCAAAUCCGGUACUCGUUAAGGCUGAGCUGUGAUGGGGAGAAGACAUUGUGUCUUCGAGUCGUUGAUUUCACACUGCCGAGAAAAGCCUCUAGAUAGAAAAUAGGUGCCCGUACCGCAAACCGACACAGGUAGUCAAGAUGAGAAUUCUAAGGUGAGCGAGCGAACUCUCGUUAAGGAACUCGGCAAAAUGACCCCGUAACUUCGGGAGAAGGGGUGCUCUUUAGGGUUAACGCCCAGAAGAGCCGCAGUGAAUAGGCCCAAGCGACUGUUUAUCAAAAACACAGGUCUCUGCUAAACCGUAAGGUGAUGUAUAGGGGCUGACGCCUGCCCGGUGCUGGAAGGUUAAGAGGAGUGGUUAGCUUCUGCGAAGCUACGAAUCGAAGCCCCAGUAAACGGCGGCCGUAACUAUAACGGUCCUAAGGUAGCGAAAUUCCUUGUCGGGUAAGUUCCGACCCGCACGAAAGGCGUAACGAUUUGGGCACUGUCUCAACGAGAGACUCGGUGAAAUCAUAGUACCUGUGAAGAUGCAGGUUACCCGCGACAGGACGGAAAGACCCCGUGGAGCUUUACUGUAGCCUGAUAUUGAAAUUCGGCACAGCUUGUACAGGAUAGGUAGGAGCCUUUGAAACGUGAGCGCUAGCUUACGUGGAGGCGCUGGUGGGAUACUACCCUAGCUGUGUUGGCUUUCUAACCCGCACCACUUAUCGUGGUGGGAGACAGUGUCAGGCGGGCAGUUUGACUGGGGCGGUCGCCUCCUAAAAGGUAACGGAGGCGCUCAAAGGUUCCCUCAGAAUGGUUGGAAAUCAUUCAUAGAGUGUAAAGGCAUAAGGGAGCUUGACUGCGAGACCUACAAGUCGAGCAGGGUCGAAAGACGGACUUAGUGAUCCGGUGGUUCCGCAUGGAAGGGCCAUCGCUCAACGGAUAAAAGCUACCCCGGGGAUAACAGGCUUAUCUCCCCCAAGAGUUCACAUCGACGGGGAGGUUUGGCACCUCGAUGUCGGCUCAUCGCAUCCUGGGGCUGUAGUCGGUCCCAAGGGUUGGGCUGUUCGCCCAUUAAAGCGGUACGCGAGCUGGGUUCAGAACGUCGUGAGACAGUUCGGUCCCUAUCCGUCGUGGGCGUAGGAAAUUUGAGAGGAGCUGUCCUUAGUACGAGAGGACCGGGAUGGACAUACCUCUGGUGUACCAGUUGUCGUGCCAACGGCAUAGCUGGGUAGCUAUGUGUGGACGGGAUAAGUGCUGAAAGCAUCUAAGCAUGAAGCCCCCCUCAAGAUGAGAUUUCCCAACUUCGGUUAUAAGAUCCCUCAAAGAUGAUGAGGUUAAUAGGUUCGAGGUGGAAGCAUGGUGACAUGUGGAGCUGACGAAUACUAAUCGAUCGAAGACUUAAUCAA
rnacentral:rRNA from 1 species